GACGAACGCUGGCGGCGUGCUUAACACAUGCAAGUCGAACGGAAAGGCCCUGCUUUUUUGGGGUGCUCGAGUGGCGAACGGGUGAGUAACACGUGAGUAACCUGCCCUUGACUUUGGGAUAACUUCAGGAAACUGGGGCUAAUACCGGAUAGGAGCUCCUGCUGCAUGGUGGGGGUUGGAAAGUUUCGGCGGUUGGGGAUGGACUCGCGGCUUAUCAGCUUGUUGGUGGGGUAGUGGCUUACCAAGGCUUUGACGGGUAGCCGGCCUGAGAGGGUGAACGGCCACAUUGGGACUGAGAUACGGCCCAGUCUCCUACGGGAGGCAGCAGUGGGGAAUAUUGCACAAUGGGCGGAAGCCUGAUGCAGCAACGCCGCGUGCGGGAUGACGGCCUUCGGGUUGUAAACCGCUUUCGCCUGUGACGAAGCGGGAGUGACGGUAAUGGGUAAAGAAGCACCGGCUAACUACGUG
rnacentral:rRNA from 1 species